UUACUUUUUAAAAGUUUUAUAAGUGCUUCAGAUACCUUAUAAAAAAUCCAUCUCCAGGAGAAUCCUUGAUUUCAGCAAGGCUGUCUACACGGUUCUGGACCUUGAACGUGAUUGUUUCAGCCGGCUUCAGCAAUUCCAGGCCCAGUCCCGUCGACACUUUGCUACCUCGGCCUCUUGCAGGGCCUCCUUCAGCUCCUGAGAUAUGGCCUCAUACUGCUUCCUCAGCAUCUCGAUCUCCUUGUUGGCUCGUUCCAUGUCCAGAGUGGCACAGUCUUGUUUCUGGAGGAGUGGGCAGAAAUGCUUUGUGAUAAAGAUACAUGUACCAUAGAGACUGCUGUACUGAUAAGCUCGGAGAUUAUUAUCCCCCGCCACCACGAAGUGGAAAGGGGGAUAAAGGUUUGGCCUCCGUCCGUCCGUCCGUGCUGACUGUAUUGCUUACACCUGGCUGAAGACCAAGCUCCAUACCCCACCUGGCAGACAUCAGGAAUGACUGGCCUGGAGGUCCAGACCUGCUCUCAGCCCUGGUUCUCUCCACCUCCUGACCUGUCGGAUUGGUCGACAACCACAACCCCUCCUCCUACAAGAGCCCAGACAUCACCACACCUGCUACAAAUCUACAGCCAAACUUUCAGUCAGGGCAGCUGGGAUUUAAUGUGAACAGUUUGCCCCGGUGCCUCUUGUGUGUUCUGUAGCUUCAGUUAGCAGCUGCAUAACUAGGUGAGACGCCAUUAGUGUUCUAUGUUUUUCGUAGCCACUGAAGGGUGGCGAUUUGCAUCCUGUGUUUUUUGGUAAUGAGUGUUUUGGAUGCACCAAUUUUAUUUAGUUAAUUCUGUGCACUUGCCACUAUUUUGUAUUAGUUUCUGUUGUUUGUCGUGGGUUUUGCUUUCGUGUUUAGGUUUGGCCAAGGAGUUUCAUUUCUUUGUUAUUGUUAUUUCUUAGUUGGAUGGAAAACUCUGCAGCCUUUGUUUGGUUUUAUUUGGUUCUUUGAUCUAGCAACAUCUACCAGCCCUGUUUUCCUUUUUCUCAUCAUUCUAUGUUUUGUCCUUGAGCAAUAAAUUCCUUUGCCCUAACCAAUGA